UACGUAGGGGCCUAGCGUUGUCCGGAUUUAUUGGGCGUAAAGAGCUCGUAGGCGGACUGUCACGUCCGCUGUGAAAAGCUAGGGCUUAACCCUGGCCUUGCAGUGGAUACGGGCAGACUAGAGGUAGGUAGGGGAGAAUGGAAUUCCCGGUGUAGUGGUGAAAUGCGUAGAGAUCCGGAGGAACACCAAAGGCGCAGGCAGUGUCCUGGGAAGUACCUGACGCUCAGGGACGAAAGCUAGGGGAGCGAACGGG
rnacentral:rRNA from 1 species